CCUACGGGUGGCUGCAGUGGGGAAUAUUCCACAAUGGGGGAAACCCUGAUGCAGCGACGCCGCGUGAAGGAAGAAGUAUUUCGGUAUGUAAACUUCUAUCAGCAGGGAAGAAAAUGACGGUACCUGACUAAGAAGCCCCGGCUAACUACGUGCCAGCAGCCGCGGUAAUACGUAGGGGGCAAGCGUUAUCCGGAUUUACUGGGUGUAAAGGGAGCGUAGGCGGUUUAGCAAGUCAGAAGUGAAAGCCCGGGGCUCAACUGCGGGACUGCAUUUGAAACUGUUGAACUAGAGUGCAGGAGAGGUAAGUGGAAUUCCUAGUGUAGCGGUGAAAUGCGUAGAUAUUAGGAGGAACACCAGUGGCGAAGGCGGCUUACUGGACUGUAAAUGACGCUGAGGCUCGAAAGCGUGGGUAGCAAACAGGAUUAGAUACCCGGGUAGUC
rnacentral:rRNA from 1 species